AGAUUGAACGCUGGCGGCAUGCCUAACACAUGCAAGUCGAACGGGAGUAGCAAUACUCUAGUGGCGGACGGGUGAGGAAUACGUAGGAAUUUGCCCUUAAGUGGGGGAUAACCCGGGGAAACCCGGAUUAAUACCGCAUGACCUCGAAAGAGCAAAGUGGGGGAUCGCAAGACCUCACGCUUUUGGAGAAGCCUACGUCGGAUUAGCUAGUUGGUGAGGUAAUGGCUCACCAAGGCGACGAUCCGUAACUGGUCUGAGAGGAUGAUCAGUCACACCGGAACUGAGACACGGUCCGGACUCCUACGGGAGGCAGCAGUGGGGAAUAUUGGACAAUGGGCGAAAGCCUGAUCCAGCCAUGCCGCGUGCAGGAUGAAGGCCUUCGGUUGUAAACUGCUUUGUACGGACGAAAGUCUCUUUCUAAUAAAGAGGAUCAUGACGGUACCGUAAGAAUAAGCACCGGACUAACUACGUGCCAGCAGCCGC
rnacentral:rRNA from 1 species